GACGAACGCUGGCGGCGUGCCUAAUACAUGCAAGUAGGACGCAGUUGCGAACGGGUGAGUAACGCGUAGGUAACUGCCUCUUAGAGGGGGAUAACUAUUGGAAACGAUAGCUAAUACCGCAUACUAGUAGAUGGACCUGCGUUUUAUUAGCUAGUAGGUAGGGUAAUGGACUACCUAGGCGACGAUACAUAGCCGACCUGAGAGGGGGAGCUGCCAAACUGUGAAUGACACACGACCCAGACUCCGACGGGAGGCAGCAGUAGUGAAUCUUCGGCAAUGGGGGGAACCCUGACCGAGCAACGCAGCGUGAGUGAAGAAGGUUUUCGGAUCGUAAAGAUCUGUUGUUAAGGAAGCGGUACUUAACCAGAAAGGGACGGCUAACUACGUGCCAGCAGCCGCGGUAAUAC
rnacentral:rRNA from 1 species